AUAACGGUUUUUUUCAAAACCCCUCUCUUAAUAAGGAAAGAAACU
rfam:Felis catus isolate Cinnamon breed Abyssinian chromosome D1, whole genome shotgun sequence.